rnacentral:tRNA from 1 species
GCCCCCAUAGCUCAGUGGAUAGAGCGUUGCCCUCCGGAGGCAAAGGCCAUGGUUCGAGUCCAUGUGGGGGUG